rnacentral:snoRNA from 1 species
CUUCAAGCCUCCAGCGUGCUGGGGUCUGGAGUGACCCCGUGGAUUCUUACAGUGCUUGCAAGAACAUUAUGAAAUUGUUUGCCGCUUUGCCCUGCUCCAUUCAGAACAAGGCUAUAGAAAUUUCAGACUAAU